AGUGAACGCUGGCGGUAGGCCUAACACAUGCAAGUCGAACGGCAGCACAGUAAGAUCUUGCUCUUACGGGUGGCGAGUGGCGGACGUGUGAGGAAUACAUCGGAAUCUACUUUUUCGUGGGGGAUAACGUAGGUAAACUUACGCUAAUACCGCAUACGACCUACGGGUGAAAGCAGGGGAUCUUCGGACCGUGCGCGAUUGAAUGAGCCGAUGUCGGAGUAGCUAGUUGGCGGGGUAAUGGCCCACCAAGUCGACGAUCCGUAGCUGGUCUGAGAGGAUGAUCGGCGGCCUUGGAAGUGAGACACGGUCCAGACUCCUACGGGAGGCAGCAGUGGGCAAUGUUGGGCAAUGGGCGCGAGCAUGAUCCAGUCAUCCCGAGUGGGUGAAGACGGCGUUGGGGUUGUAAAGACCUUUUUUUGGGAAAGAAAAGCAGCAGGUUAAUACCCAGCUGUUCUGACGGUAACCAAAGAAUAAGCACCGGCUAACUUCGUG
rnacentral:rRNA from 1 species